AUUGAACGCUGGCGGCAGGCCUAACACAUGCAAGUCGAGCGGAGCGGCGGACGGGUGAGUAAUGCCUAGGAAUCUGCCUGGUAGUGGGGGAUAACGUCCGGUAACGGGCGCUGAUACCGCAUACUAUCAGAUGAGACUAGGUCGGAUGAGAUAGUUGGUGGGGUAAAGGCCUACAAAGGCGACGAUCCGUAACUGGUCUGAGAGGAUGAGGAGUCACACGUGAACUGAGACACGGUCCAGAAUCCGACGGGAGGCAGCAGUGGGGAAUAUUGGACAAUGGGCGAAAGCCUGAUCCAGCCAUGCCGCGUGUGUGAAGAAGGUCUUCGGAUUGUAAAGCACUUUAAGUUGGGAGGCGUUACCAACAGAAUAAGCACCGGCUAACUUCGUGCCAGCAGCCGCGGUAAUUC
rnacentral:rRNA from 1 species